GAACGCACCUUGCACCCUUUGGUAUUCCAAAGGGUACACCCGUUUGAGUGUCAUUGUAAUCUCACCUCUUCAGCUUUCUUGUUGAUCAGUGUGGAUCUGGAUGCUGCUGUGACAAACAGCUCAUCUGAAAUGCCUGAGUGUAGCCAACUUCAGUGGUGCAUUUGGUGUAAUAAUCCUUCACCAGAGAAUGGUCCCUUUGGAUCACAUCACUUUUGCUGCGUAUAUGCUUCCAACAGUCUUUCUGAAGACAACAUUUUGACAAUUUGACCUCAAAUCGGGUGGGACUACCCGCUGAACUUAAG
rnacentral:misc_RNA from 1 species